CCUACGGGUGGCUGCAGUGGGGAAUUUUGGACAAUGGGGGCAACCCUGAUCCAGCCAUUCCGCGUGAGUGAAGAAGGCCUUCGGGUUGUAAAGCUCUUUCGCAAGGGAAGAAAACUUACUCAAUAACACUGGGUGAGGCUGACGGUACCUUGAUAAGAAGCACCGGCUAACUACGUGCCAGCAGCCGCGGUAAUACGUAGGGUGCGAGCGUUAAUCGGAAUUACUGGACGCGGAGUUGGAACAGACAGGUGAAAUCCCCGGGCUCAACCUGGGAACUGCGUUUGAAACUACAAGGCUAGAGUAUGGCAGAGGGGGGUAGAAGUCCACGUGUAGCAGUGAAAUGCGUAGAGAUGUGGAGGAAUACCAAUGGCGAAGGCAGCCCCCUGGGUCAAUACUGACGCUCAUGCACGAAAGCGUGGGGAGCAAACAGGAUUAGAUACCCCGGUAGUC
rnacentral:rRNA from 1 species